rnacentral:rRNA from 1 species
UUUUCCUACGGGGGGCAGCAGUGGGGAAUAUUGCACAAUGGGGGAAACCCUGAUGCAGCAACGCCGCGUGAGUGAGGAAGUAUUUCGGUAUGUAAAGCUCUAUCAGCAGGGAAUAGAAAAGAAGGUACCUGAAAAAGAAGCCCCGGCUAACUACGUGCCAGCAGCCGCGGUAAUACGUAGGGGGCAAGCGUUAUCCGGAUUUACUGGGUGUAAAGGGAGCGUAGACGGAAAGGCAAGUCAGAAGUGAAAGCCCAAGGCUCAACCAUGGGACGGCUAUUGAAACUGUCAAACUAGAGCAUGGGAGG